rnacentral:rRNA from 1 species
UUCGUAGGGUGCGAGCGUUGUCCGGAAUUACUGGGCGUAAAGAGCUCGUAGGUGGUUUGUCGCGUUGUUCGUGAAAUCUCACGGCUUAACUGUGAGCGUGCGGGCGAUACGGGCAGACUAGAGUACUGCAGGGGAGACUGGAAUUCCUGGUGUAGCGGUGGAAUGCGCAGAUAUCAGGAGGAACACCGGUGGCGAAGGCGGGUCUCUGGGCAGUAACUGACGCUGAGGAGCGAAAGCGUGGGGAGCGAACAGG